rnacentral:rRNA from 1 species
GACGAACGCUGGCGGCGUGCUUAACACAUGCAAGUCGAACGGAAAGGCCCUGCUUUUGUGGGGUGCUCGAGUGGCGAACGGGUGAGUAACACGUGAGUAACCUGCCCUUGACUUUGGGAUAACUUCAGGAAACUGGGGCUAAUACCGGAUAGGAGCUCCUGCUGCAUGGUGGUGGUUGGAGAGUUUCGGCGGUUGGGGAUGGACUCGCGGCUUAUCAGCUUGUUGGUGGGGUAGUGGCUUACCAAGGCUUUGACGGGUAGCCGGCCUGAGAGGGUGACCGGCCACAUUGGGACUGAGAUACGGCCCAGACUCCUACGGGAGGCAGCAGUGGGGAAUAUUGCACAAUGGGCGGAAGCCUGAUGCAGCAACGCCGCGUGCGGGAUGACGGCCUUCGGGUUGUAAACCGCUUUCGCCUGUGACGAAGCGUGAGUGACGGUAAUGGGUAAAGAAGCACCGGCUAACUACGUG